rnacentral:rRNA from 1 species
CCUACGGGCGGCAGCAGUGAGGAAUAUUGGUCAAUGGACGAGAGUCUGAACCAGCCAAGUAGCGUGAAGGAUGACUGCCCUAUGGGUUGUAAACUUCUUUUAUAUGGGAAUAAAAUGUUCCACGUGUGGGAUUUUGUAUGUACCAUAUGAAUAAGGAUCGGCUAACUCCGUGCCAGCAGCCGCGGUAAUACGGAGGAUCCGAGCGUUAUCCGGAUUUAUUGGGUUUAAAGGGAGCGUAGGUGGAUUGUUAAGUCAGUUGUGAAAGUUUGCGGCUCAACCGUAAAAUUGCAGUUGAAACUGGCAGUCUUGAGUACAGUAGAGGUGGGCGGAAUUCGUGGUGUAGCGGUGAAAUGCUUAGAUAUCACGAAGAACUCCGAUUGCGAAGGCAGUUCACUGGACUGCAACGGACACUGAGGCUCGAAAGUGUGGGUAUCAAACAGGAUUAGAUACCCCUGUAGUC